rnacentral:rRNA from 1 species
CUUAAUGAAUUGACGGGGCCCGCACAAGCGGUGGAGUAUGUGGUUUAAUUCGAUGCAACGCGAAGAACCUUACCUGGUCUUGACAUCCCGGAGACCCUUAGGAAACUAGGGGGUGCUUCCAUCUGGAAGAAUCUGGAGACAGGUGCUGCAUGGCUGUCGUCAGCUCGUGUCGUGAGAUGUUGGGUUAAGUCCCGCAACGAGCGCAACCCUUGCCUUUAGUUGCCAGCAGUUCGGCUGGGCACUCUAAAGGGACUGCCGGUGUUAAACCGGAGGAAGGUGGGGAUGACGUCAAGUCCUCAUGGCCUUUAUGACCAGGGCUACACACGUACUACAAUGGCCGAUACAAAGGGCAGCGACACUGCGAGGUGAAGCCAAUCCCGUAAAAUCGGUCUCAGUCCGGAUUGGAGUCUGCAACUCGACUCCAUGAAGUUGGAAUCGCUAGUAAUCGUGGAUCAGCAUGCCACGGUGAAUACGUUCCCGGGCCUU